rnacentral:lncRNA from 1 species
UUGAAGGUUUAGGGUUUUAGGGUUUAAGGUUUGAAUUUCAGAAAUAUAUAGGGUUUAGGGUUCACGUUUAGGAUUUAGAGUUUAUGUUUUAGGGUUUAGAUUUGAAGGUUUAGGGUUUAGGGUUUAGAGUUGAUGUUUCAGGGUUUAUGGUUCAGAGUUGAUGUUUCAUGGUUUAGGGUUUAGAGUUGAUGAUUUAGGGUUUAGAGUUUAGGGUAGAUAUUUACAUUUGAUGUUUUAGGGUUUAGAUUUGAAGGAUUCAAGGUUUAGGGUUUAAAAAGUUGAUGAUUUUGGGUUGAUAGUUGAUGUUUUAAGUUUAGAUUAAACUUAUGUUUUUUUGUCAUAGUUAAUUCUAGGGUUAUAAAUGUCUUUUACCCUUCAUUAAAGAGGAGGGUAAAAUUAAUUAGUAUAAACAUGAAAAGUGGUACUUUGAAAAUUGUAUUUUUGGCAAUUUCCCUUAAUGUAUUUAAUGUAUUUUGAAGUUACUGUACUUUUAAAAUUAAUAUAUCACAAUCAUAUAAUUAAUGUAUUUUUAUCAUUGUCAUAACAUAAAUAAUUUAUAGACUGAAAUAUUUCAUUAAGAAGGUAAAUAUAUAUUUAUACUCAAGGGGUUAAAAAUCUAGAAUUAUGAUUUAGAGUUAAAGAGGUGAAAAUUUGGUAAUGAGCUUUA